CAUGGUUUAACUGGCUUUUGCCUGAGUUGGUUGGCAGGGUAGAGAACUUAGCACCAGAGCCUCUUAAGGAGUUUAUAACAUUCCGUCUGAAAAUACCUCUUAAAUACCCGAUUUUGAAUGUUUUGUAAAUUCCUUUUCUUUCUCGUCCCCCUCCUCCAGGCUUCUCAAUUAAUGAUGGAAUAAAUUGACCAACAGGACAAACAAUUGACAGCUGGGCAAAUGUGCCUAGACACCCUUUCUGUAGUCCAUGAAGGGACAAUGAACCUGAUUCUUCUUUCACAGCCACCGGUGUAACUCUGCCAAAUUGAUGUUUCUCCUCCUGAUUUACACUACUGUAACUUGAAAGGACAAUCUGGCCCCCAUCUUUGGAAAGCCUUUCUUCAAUAAUCAUCAUCAUUAUUAUCGUUGUGGUUUUGCUAUAUUGGUC
rnacentral:lncRNA from 1 species